rnacentral:lncRNA from 1 species
GCAUCACCUCCCCCUCCGUUUGCCCAUCUCGCUCGCGUGACCCCGUCGGCUUCCUCCUCCCCGCCCCGACCCCGCCGUGCACCAGCGGAGCUCGCUGCCGCUGCCCGCCCCGCUGAGAGGCCCGAUCCCUGAUCCGCACGCUGUGAGCAGUGGUACCAAGGGAUUAGCGAUGGCGAGGCGGCGGCCGGCGGUGCUGCUGCUGGUAGUCGUGGCGCUGGCGGCGGUCCUGUCGGCGGCGCGAUGGGCGGACGCGCUGUCGGUGACGGUGACCGACACCGAGUGCAUCCACGAGUUCGUUCCCUACGAGGGCGACACCGUGUCCGGGAACUUCGUCGUCGUCGACCACGAUAUCUUCUGGAGCUCCGACCACCCCGGCAUCGACCUCACGGUACCCGCCCCGAUCCCCUCGGCCCCCUUGCGUCCUCCGCUUCUGCGCGGUUGAAUUGGAUAGGAGGGUCGUGAUUCGAAUGGGUUUAUGGGUUGUUGUGGUAGGGAUCUGGCCAUCCGGUGGGCUGAAUUGGGGAUCCGGAGGCGGAUGGUUCGUCAGUCGUGAUCCCCUGACGCGAUCUCUAACUUCCGUACAAGUUUGGGGAUCUAGAGUAUUUCAUUGUCACUAGCAUGUGGUUGUCGUAUAUUUUCGGGAAUUUCAGUGGAUUGCCACUGCUUUGUUGUAUGGUUGCAUGUGUAUUCUGACCUGCGAGUGCACAAUAUCGGUGGUUCAAGUUUGAUUGG